rnacentral:rRNA from 1 species
GACGAACGCUGGCGGCGUGCCUAAUACAUGCAAGUUGAGCGCUGAAGGUUGGUACUUGUACCAACUGGAUGAGCAGCGAACGGGUGAGUAACGCGUGGGGAAUCUGCCUUUGAGCGGGGGACAACAUUUGGAAACGAAUGCUAAUACCGCAUAAAAACUUUAAACACAAGUCUUAAGUUUGAAAGAUGCAAUUGCAUCACUCAAAGAUGAUCCCGCGUUGUAUUAGCUAGUUGGUGAGGUAAAGGCUCACCAAGGCGAUGAUACAUAGCCGACCUGAGAGGGUGAUCGGCCACAUUGGGACUGAGACACGGCCCAAACUCCUACGGGAGGCAGCAGUAGGGAAUCUUCGGCAAUGGACGAAAGUCUGACCGAGCAACGCCGCGUGAGUGAAGAAGGUUUUCGGAUCGUAAAACUCUGUUGGUAGAGAAGAACGUUGGUGAGAGUGGAAAGCUCAUCAAGUGACGGUAACUACCCAGAAAGGGACGGCUAACUACGUG